UCACUAUAGCAGUUCAUAUUAUAAACUUAGAAGGAUACAGAAAAAAUUAACAAGGCCCUACUGCAAGAAUGAUACACAUAUUUUUGAACCAUUCCUAUUAUUU